ACUGGCUUAGUAUACAAUUUAGUACAUAAGAUUGUAAAUCUUGGGGCAACAUUUGUUUAGUCAGGA
rnacentral:tRNA from 1 species